rnacentral:misc_RNA from 1 species
UCCUGAGCUUCUUAUUUAGGCGUUGUCCAGUCCAGUCGGAGUCUCUAUCGGCAAAAAAGAAGGCGUAGCACACGUCUGCGCACCUUCCCGGCUUACAUAUUGUCAGCCGCAGACGCCCGCACGCUCACACACUGCGCGACUUGCUUUUUGUACUCUUGUGCCCCCACAGCGCAUCGAAGGAGAGGGGCGUUUGCCCGUGUGUCUCUCUAUUUCUUUCAGCAUCGCACUCAAGAGAAGCGUCACCGCGGCAUCUUCCCUACCGCCCCUGCGCCCCUCCUCCCUCUUCCCAUCCUCGCAACUCCCGCACUGGGCAGCGUCACAGCAAACUGACACAGACUAUCAUCCGCAGGCAAUACAUUUCGCUUUCUUCUCUCAAAUCCUUUUCCCACCCUUUGUCUUUGGCCCGCGCCGCCGCUGUUGUCUCGCUGCACUCCUCCCCUCAUUCUGCCUCUCUGUCAGUGCGUGCGCGUGCGUUUGCGUGCGUGUGUGUGUCGCUGCUGCCGGUGUUGCACCUCUUCCCACGCCACUGCCGCUGCCGCUGACUGCUGCCAAGCAUUUCUCUGUGCUCUUCUUCCCCCUUCCCUCUCCAUUUUAUCCGCUCGGACGUGGCGGCCUUCUGCAUCGCUUGUGCGCGGCCAAUUACUCUCUUCGACUUUUUGGAGGGGUGGUGUUGGAGGUGGUGGUGUUUUGGGUGAUGUGACGCGUGCCUUUGAGUGCUGCCGUCUCCCUCCAUUGCUCUUUCCUACACCGACACACACAUGUGUGAAUCUUUUACUUGUCCACGUUUCCAGGCAGAGGCACAGAAUAUCGAGCGGCACCUCCGCAGCGGAGGUACCGCAUCCCUCUCUUUCUCCCGCAACGCCCCCACCUCGUCGCUGAGAACACCUUGUCGUGAAGCGAGGGCGUGCGCACUGAGGCGAAUUUUGAGACCAUCAAGGACGGCGCACGCGUACGGCACGCACACACUGACACAUCCCCCCACCCCCAAAUAUAUAUAUAUAUAUUAGACUGGCACAUAGAGCGAGGGCAAGAGAGUGAGAUUGGCGCAACGCGCGUCCAGUUUGCAGCUGUAGACCCAUUAGAGGUGGCGGUAUCGCUUGAACGCGCUGGCCACGCCCACGCCGACAUACGCCCCACCGCGUGCUUGUGUAUCCUUGUUCUGUUCUUUGCCUGUCCUCUCCACUGCGUGCACCGUGGUUUUUCUUGUGUUGUGUUCGCCUGCUCGCCGCGCGCUCGCUACACCGUCCUCCUCCCCACCGUAUUACUCUCUUUCUUUGCUCCGUGGUGCGUGUGCGUGUGCGUGCUCGUCAUCGCUGCCUUGUCUCUCUCUCUCUCUCUCUGCCUGCAGCUUGUGUUCUUUCUUCCCUCCUUUUUCGUCUUGCCUUCGACUUCUCUCUUGCCUGCGUGCCUGGAUGCGGGUGUUGGUGCUGGCGCUGCUCAAACAAGGAUUGUCUCCGGCUACACGCCACCCUCACCCACUACCCACUCCUCCAUCUUAUCCCGUCUGCCUGCUGCACACGCCAGCGUUGUGGAGGAGGGAGGUCUGCAGCCUCGCAUCUCCCCCACCUCUCUCUACACGUAUACGUGUGUCUCUAGAUGUGCGUGCUGCGUGGUUCUUUCUUUUUAUGGCUCGCAUCGUUGUGCCUCUGCUUCGCUUCUUUCUUCCCAUUGUGACUCCUCCGUAGCCAGCGCGCACACACACACACGCAGGUAGACACAGGAAAGCGUUCUUGCGCCUCACCUCUGCACGAGCCGCCACAGCGACCUCUUACCGCAAACAUGUCUGUCUCGGAGAGGUGUGACCCCUUCUCGCCACACGGGCCAGGCUGCUUCAGCAUGGCGAGCCCGCCUCUGCGGGCGUCGGAUCUUUCCUCGCCCAGCCCAAGCAUCAGACUGCAGCGGGAGCGGACGCGCAGCAUGGGGACCCGGCUCAGCGCCUCGAUCACUCGCGAUGGCGCUGAAAGGGUGCUGCCUGCAUCCUCCUCACGAGUGGAGACGCUGGCGCGCGAUGCAAAUAAGAAGUGCGAACAACAGCUAAUGCAAGAGGAGGAGCUGUGUGGUCCCUCGUAUCGCGAGGUCGAAGGCCGACGUCCCUCAAGAACUCUAAGCCCCGGCGGUGCCGGUGACACAAGCGGCGCCGAGGACGGAGGCCGCGUCCGUGGCAAGGAGUACGUGGAAGACAGCGACGACGAAGAUGUGUACAACUCGCACGUUGCGCGACGAAUCCGCGCCUUUCUCGACAGCAUAAAGGAGGAGGACUUUACGCGCAAUCCGUCGCCGGUUGACGCGAUAAGCAUGGAUGCUAACGGUGAGGGUAUAGACGAGGAGGUACUGCGCCAGCGGCGGCUAGAACGGGCGUCAGUCGAUGAGAUUCGCAGCAUCGCAGCGGAGGCGCAGCGCGAGCUCCUGAUUGCCCUCCACGACGCCAUCACACUGGAGACGGACUUGGCAGAGAUGAGCGAGGACGCUGCCGUGCUCGAGCGUGCCGUCGGCCAUCGGGAAGAGACCGUCGAGGUGCUGAGGAUGCAGCUCAGCAUAGCUGAUGAGUACAACGAGGAACUGCACGGCGCCAAGAAGGAGGCGCUGCGCAAGCUCAGUGCUGCUAAGACAGAGAUCGCGCUGCUCAGCCAGCGCAAUGCAACGCUGUCGAAGCAACUGCAAGAAAAGGAGAAGGAGCUGCAGCUGAGUCUUGCGAGGAGUGCCAAUGCCUCGGCGAGCGCGUCGCCGCCGGCGCCGGAGCGCAGGGAUGAGGGCACCAUCACAACCACGGAGCUGCAUUCGGCGUUGAUCGCGGCCCCGGCCAGUGCCGGGGCGCCCAACAACGGCAGCCUUUCCACCCCGUCUUCCCCGACGCAGCACCGAGAAUGCGAGCUAGAGGGGAUGCUUCGGAAGCUGCAACUUGCCUGCGACACGCUUCAGUCCACGGUAAAGGUGAAGGCUGACCUAGAUCAGCAGCUGCAGCAGUUGACAAUUGGCGUCGGGGAGUCGCGGACCGACGCCGCCGCAUGCGGCUCUGCAAGCAGUGAAGCUGGCAUCUCUCAGUCGCACGGAGAGAGAUGCGCCCCCACUGACGCGGAGCAGCGCCUGCUGCGGCGUCGGUGCAAAGACGUCGCUUGCUGCACUGACUCUCUCGAGAACGAUAUACGGAUGCUGUCGGCGAAGGCUCGAGCGCAGCAGGCAUGCACCAACGCCGUGGAGGGCGGCAGCGCUGGACACCGCAGAAGUGCAGCGGAGGCCGAGGCAGCCACCCGGCCGCAGCCGGCGGAGUCGUCCGGUCCGGCUUCCGCAAGCGCCACCUCACCAGAGGGGCAAGGAGGCAGUGGUGGCUGUGCUGAGCCUGCGGACUCUAACCUAGCGUUUCUUCAGCGGCAGCUCGACUGUGCUCAGGCAGCCGCGCGGCGGCUUGAGAGCGAACUGCGCGCAGAGCGUGAAAAGUCGCAUCGACAGAGCGCGGCCGAGAAAAAGCUCUUGGAGAAUGUUGCCUACCUCACCCAGAAACUGCGCGCCCGCGAGGCGCUGGAUCGCGAGACACGCUUGCAGCGCCGGGCUGAGAAGAGCGGUACGCGUGACGACGGUGGCGGCACUGCGGAUGGGCGCCGGACUUUGCUUUACUCUCACUGCUUCAGUCAAGGAGUCAGUGCUGGCGUGCGGCGUGGGGCGAGCACGACCGCGGGGGACGUUUGUGGCGAAGGCGCCCCGACGUCGGUUCUGCGCCGUGCGAAUCGGGAAGCCGAUGCUGUCGGUAUGGGCGCUGCCACGGCGGCUGCCCGGAAAGGUCGCGCGAACUCACAAGAGCUGCGCCAGCGUAGAGAGUCGGUCUUUGCGGCGCUGCGCGACGCUCGAAGGGCCAGCGAUGAGCGCCGCUCCUCCCACGUUGAGAGCGACACACGGCGCAGCUCAGAUGGGCAGACGUCCUUCUCCUCUAUCCCGCCGACUUCCUCGUCGCGCGACGCAGCGCUGAAAACGAGCGGCAACGCAGUCAAGAGCGGCACGAGAAGUACCACACCCACUUUGACUCCGUCGCGCGGCUAGGUGGGUGUAUGUCUCCGCAACUUUCGCGUUGCUUGCCGAGAUCCUCUCACCCCCUCUUCCGAAGUUGGCGUGACGCCUCCUGCGGCCGAUCUCGCCCCCCUCUCGGCGGGCCGGUAGGUGGCAGUGAGCGUGGACUUGCCACGAGGCGGCCGCAGUGGCUCUCAGGCGUCGUUGGUGCGUGAAAAGGGCUUGAGCAGUACAGGGGGCGUGUAGCCACAUUGGGAAGAAGGCCCACAGGGCCGACCGCCGUGGGAGGUGUUCCUGCGCUCCAAUGCCUCUCUCUCUUGUCUGCCUUUCCCUUUUCUCUUCGUUGUCGGGCUCCGGUGGUGUCUGCCUGCUGCCCUCCUCGCUGCACGUAUGUGCGCAUGUGUGGGGGUGUGCCCCUCUUCCCCUUUUGCCCUCCGCUUGCUUCGCUGAGCUUUUCUCCUUUUCUAUUGUUUCCCCAGUGGUGCCCGUCAUCUGCGCAUCUCUGGGCAGGUUGCUGUGCUUCCUUCUACCUCUCCACGACCUCU